rnacentral:rRNA from 1 species
AUUGAACGCUGGCGGCAGGCCUAACACAUGCAAGUCGAGCGGAUGAAGGGAGCUUGCUCCUGGAUUCAGCGGCGGACGGGUGAGUAAUGCCUAGGAAUCUGCCUGGUAGUGGGGGAUAACGUCCGGAAACGGGCGCUAAUACCGCAUACGUCCUGAGGGAGAAAGUGGGGGAUCUUCGGACCUCACGCUAUCAGAUGAGCCUAGGUCGGAUUAGCUAGUUGGUGGGGUAAAGGCCUACCAAGGCGACGAUCCGUAACUGGUCUGAGAGGAUGAUCAGUCACACUGGAACUGAGACACGGUCCAGACUCCUACGGGAGGCAGCAGUGGGGAAUAUUGGGCAAUGGGCGAAAGCCUGAUCCAGCCAUGCCGCGUGUGUGAAGAGGGUCUUCGGAUUGUAAAGCACUUUAAGUUGGGAGGAAGGGCAGUAAGUUAAUACCUUGCUGUUUUGACGUUACCAACAGAAUAAGCACCGGCUAACUUCGUG